UAAUGUGAAAACGCUUCUUCCUAAGCUGCGAUUAAGGGCCACCAUAAUAGAAACACCGGAGAAUCGCGUUUCAAAACCAAUCAAGUCGCGACGUCUUCCACGAAGAACACGACGGAUUCGUAUUCUCAACCAUGAAUAAGUAUGUGCCGUCUCCAAAAUCGCUUCCCUGCUUCUUCCUUUGCACAUUGAAAAUUCCGUAAUCGGUGCGCGAAUCGCAUGAACACUAUAAUCGGUGUGCGAAUCAUGGAAUAAUUGAGGUAUGAUAUGAAAGAAGCAUUGCCUUCAGUGCGUUCUCGCCUUGUGAUGCAUUCGGUUUGAAGAAGAUGAUCUCAGAAACAAAAAUAAAAAAUUACGAGGAAGGAGAUUGAAGGCGACGAAUCGGAAACUUGAGGAAGAAAAUUGAAGGUUCAACCCUCAGCAAGAAAUCCUUCAAGAACUCAAAUUUAUAGCUCGAAUGGACUCCGUGUUAAUCAGCACACGAACAACACAACCAAUUGUGAGUUUGAACUUCAGGCUCCAAUUCAAUGAGCCAAGAACAAUCUCCAAAUUAUGUUCAAUCUCUCAUCAAAUCCGAACCAAAUCGGCGCCCUUCUCGUGCGUAAAAACUGGAAAACACGAAAGAAGAAAGCAUUUAUCGGACCAAUGGAGUCUCUAGGUAAUCAACAGAAGAUGAUCGAAGGUUGGUAUGAAGAAGAAGAAGAAGCCCUCAAGGCGAAUUGAAUAAAAAGCGUUCGAAGUGAAUUUGAAGAAGAAGCACUCAUGGUGCCUUUGAAGAAGAAGCACUCAAAUUGCAUUUGAAGAAGCCCUCAAAGUGCAUUUUAGGAUGGAGUAGUUUAUGGAGGCCAUAGAAGAAAUCUGCAGGGUUCAUGUGCUUUACGAUGGACUGUGGUGAAUAUACUUCAAAACUCGUUUUUCUACUGAACAUGACCAGUUGCAGGGGAGUAUCGAAUCUACUAGUUAAAAAGAGUAUAUUGUCUAUUUCGGUAACACCAAAUCCACUAUGAAACAUGUCCUUCUGUUGCCAAGUAGAUAUAAUGAGAUGAAUUGCUUAAUUUACUCCAUGGUUUCCUAGGACUUAUUGGUUUGAUUGUUAGGUGCUUGUUGGCAGGUUGUUGUUUUAAUGAAGGUAAUAUUUCGGCCUUACCGUCAGGAUGCAUCAAAUGAAUGACUUUGGUGGUUUUGGGAUUUAUGUUAUGAUUUGGUUGUAAAGUGAAGUUGCCCUGUUAUGGUUAAAUGCAACAAAAUAUUAUGGUUAGCAUGUGUUAAUGAUAGCAGUCAAGGGAAUUAGUUGAAAAAACUUGUUUUGGUUAGGAGUUAGCUUUAAUGGUUUCAAAGAGUGUUAAUAUAUUGUUGUUUAUUCUGUUAGUGCAGAUUGAUGGUUACGUCGCAGGCUGGUGUAGCAGGGCAAAUGAUAGCAAGGUCGUUGAUAGCAUGGCAACAAGAAAGAUGCUUGGAGUUUUGGAUGUUUUAAAGUCGUGGAGCAUUGGCGUAUGCUAAGGACAAGUUUCAAGUGGUUUUUUAUUGUUGUACUUAGAAUUCAAAGUGUUUUGUACUAGGAUUGUAAAGUGAAUGUUAGAAAUGAAUGUAUGAAUUUGUGUUAAUGUAUGGAAAUGACAAUGUAAUGGAUAUAUUUAGAAAUUGACUAGUUGUAAUGACA